rnacentral:lncRNA from 1 species
CGGUCUUGCUGGUUCUCAAGACGGGGAGAAGAGAGCAAAGUCAGGAUGCGGAAAUGGAGUGGCUGGGGCACCCAGGACUGGUCAAGGUGGGACACAAAUACUGACUGCCAUUUAGAGAAGAAUAUGUGCAAUAUACACAAGUUUGCACGCAUGCACAUACACACACACAUGUGGCCACGUGUUCACACAUGCACUUCUAUGCACACAGACUUGCAUACGCAUGUGCACAUGCAUGUGCGCGUGCACACACACACAGACACACACACACUCAUCUGGUUUCCCAAAAGGUCUCUUCAGGAGCGAGUUCCUCGGGCUGGGAGACAGCUGGCGGUGUUGAGACUGAAGUCUGCUUCUGCUCACAGGGAGGUGGGCAGGACCCGUGGUGCCCUGUGAGCACAGAGGGCGUGGGCCCGUCUGCAGCUCUGCGGCUCACUGCGACUCUGGGUGAGCCCUGCAGUCCAGAGCAACACACAGCGGGUGUGCAAGACACAUUCGUGCACAUUGGCCCUAUUUCAUAGCCAUGUUACUCUCUGAAAGUUUUGAAGCAACUUAGAAUAAUAAUGAACAAAGCCAGGCUUGGUGCCUACUACUAAGCCUAUAAUUUGAGCACUCUGGGAGGCUGAGUCAAGAGGACCACAAGUUCUAGCCCAGUCUGAGAAACUUAGCAAGAUCCUGUCUCCAAAAUAAAAAGGGGUGGGGAUGUACAGAUGUAGCUCAGGUAAAGGCCCUGGGCUCACUCUGCAGUACUGAAAAGAAAAUUAAACAAAACAACAAAAAGGUGCAUCAGUGAUAUGAGAGGAACACAACGAUGAUGGACAUAUAAAGUUAAAAGGUGAAAUCAGCACUUGAACUCUGAUGUGGCCAGGGAGAUCGCAUUUCACCCUGGAGAGAUGAAGCCCUCCAUGCUGGUGAGGGAGAUACUGCCCUGGGCCUGACCCCGAGGACACACUGGGCAGAGCCGGGUGGCCUCGGCCUCCCUCAGGGGCAGACAAGGGCCCACAGGACAGCUUCAGGGACAGCAGCACCUAAGUUUGACCCUGGUAAGCUCAGGACUGCCCUUCUGGAGCACCCAGGUUAUCUUUGAUUCUUUUCAUCCUAACAAACGAGCAGGACACAGGGGAGGCAGAGGGAGGACAGUGCACUGUGAACAGCCUUACACCGGGCUGCCUGGGCUCGAAUUCGGCCCCAUCAGAAUUACUCUGCCAGUGCACAGUUACUUAGUUUCUGCACUUCAGUUUCCUAACUGGUAGAAGUGUGUCAGCAUGCUAGCCUCAGGGUUCUCUGAGGAUGAAUCGCGUUGGGAGGCAUGUGUAGUGUGGAGCGGCACUUGGCAUGCAGGGAGGACUGGCGAGCAGUGGCUGUCGGGAGGGCGUGGGCCCCCGAGUGUGCAGUUCUUGUGGUGCUGGGCUCUGCACUUUCCAGCCUGUGGCCCUCAGGAAGGUGUCCCCUCUCCCCUCUCCCCUCAGGAUUUGGGGCGGUGACUCACUCAGCCAGGGCAGAAUUUCCACAAGUGCAGCCGGGGUCCUGUGAUCAGGGUUGAGCAAGGUGUGUGUGUGCGUGCAUGUGCGUGUGUGUGCAUGUGUGUUUCUUGUGCCUUUUAUUGCUUUGCUUGAGGAAGGCAGAUUCUUGGUGGCAUCCAAUCACAACCUCACUUUACAGCUGUGUGAUGCUGACAGGCACAUGUCGCCCACCUUAUCUGUGUGACCUAGAAGCUUGAACCACAUUCAGUUGGGGUUGAGGCGGAAAGCGAAGCAGUGGGUCCUCCACAGCAGGUGGGCAGCUGAGCUCGGGAAGGACAUCAGACACCAGACUGCAGUCUCUGGUCCGAGGUUCACAGUGCCACUCCUGACUGGGCUGCCUCCUGGGGACUGGGAAAAUCAUGGGCACCACAGGCCCUCAGGGCCCACCUAGCAGAGUCCCUGGGGUCUUCCAUGCACGCAAGGUGCUGGCCACCUUCAGGGGCUGUCGUGUGACGACCCAAGUGAGAGCUGGAGGGCGGAGAUGGCUGAAAUCUGAUCUAGAGAGCACCUCUGUCCAUGCAGCAGAGCCCAGCCUCCUGCUGACCCCGCCGGUCUGAUGGCUGGAGCAUGUGCUCCUUCUUCCAGGAGGGUGUGCAGCUGACUUUGGAAGACCGUGCUCUCGGCCUGGAGCCCGUGGUGCAGUGUCUGCCCUGGGCACGAAGAGGAAGGAGGAGAGUUCUCAGGGCUGAGGCCUGAGCUGAGCUGAGUGGGGAGUGGAGGAGGAAUGGGUGGAAAUGGGAGUGGCCCAAAGCACCGGAUCAGCACUGGGAGGGUUUGGCUGGAGUGAGGACAGCUGGGGGCCCCACACGAGCAGCUUUGACUUAAUUCUCUUGGAGGACAGGCCAAGGACUCGCCUCUGACCCUAUCCAUGGGCGCCUUUCACAGGCAGUGUCAGGGGCCAGGGCAGGGUGAGGGUCUGCAGCCGUGUGUGCAAAUGGGAGUGCAUGACACCCAGUGUGCAGGGCAACCAUGUCCUGAGCACCUUUUGCCCUUGCUGGUUCACGGCUCUCAGUCUUCCUGGCCCUGAGCAGGUGAUCUAGGGUUUACAUACGCUUGGAUUUUACAAGUCUACUCACAUCACACUGUGCCAUCUUGUCAGAAGGAGAAACUGAGGCAAAAGAUCCUGAAGAACCUGCGGGGAGGAGCUGCCCUCCAAUCUGAAACAAGACGCAGGGAACAGACUGCCCAGGCUCCUUCGUUCAGCAGUCUGCACCUGUAUUUGGUUCUUUCCCUCCAUAUCUUGGAAAGAGGGGAGAGAGAAGUUCUUUGGGCAACGGCCAUCUGGAGCACUUCUCACUGGGCACAGGUUUGGGGGGGGAUGGCAGGAGGCUGUUGCCCCAAUAUUCCUUAGACUGUGGGUGAAUGGAGAGCUAGAAGUAUGGAGAUUCAGCAGGUUAGGAUUGAUGUAGGGGCCGGGUGGCUCCAGCACUCUUGGAGCUCAAAGCAGGAAGAUCAUCAGUUCAAGGCCAGCCUGGGUAAUUUAGCAAUUUAGGAAGGCUCAGUCUCAAAAUAAAAAGAGGGCUGGGGAUGUAGCUCAGGGUGAAGGCCCCGGGUUCCACCCCCACUACCAAAACAACGGAAACAAAGGAAGAGAAGAAGGAAAAGAGAGCAUGAAGAGAGAGACAGAGAGACGGAGACAGAAAGAUGGAGACAGAGGGGAGAGAGAGAGACAGUGUGGUCCCCUCUUAACCCCUAGCUGUGUGGGAAAGAGACAGGAGGAGGAAGACUGCACAGGAGACAGGAGGGCGUGGCCUGAGCUGGAGCAGAGGGGCCGCUGGUGGCCUGGCGCUGAAACCCUACUGCUAAGCCGGGCCCUUCCACAGCCCUGCUGUGAGGGUGAGGAAGAGCACUGGCUGCGGUUGGUCCAGGACCCUCGGGGGAGCGCUUGUCCGCCCGCCCAUUACCCCGGCCCUGGGAGCCUCCUCUCUCCCCUGCCCAGAAGCUCUCUUGCUCUCUCUGUCCCCGGGCUUUGAGAAGGGCAGGGCGCCCCGCCCAGGAGGGGAAGUGAACAGCAGCCUCCGCCCUGGGUUCCCAGUGAGCGUGUGAGCGUGUGAACGUGUGUGAGUGUGUGUGUGUGUGUGUGUGUGUGUAGGCUCACGCAGAUCAGACACAGAGCGCAGAGUGGAGAGCUUCCCGGACCUUCACAGAGAGCUUGGCCCUUGAAGCUUGUCACAGCCGGCCCAGCUGAGCAGAGGCGCAGGAGCAGCCUGGGCCAGAUCACAGAAGCUCGGGGACACUCGGACCUUCAGGAGGCAGGAGGUGAUGCCUGGAAUGGAAGUUUCACUUGUCCGGCAGCCCAACCCUCAUGUGGCGCAUUCUGGGGAGCAGAGGUGGGGAGAGCAGGCCUUGGAGCUGGCGCGGGGGUGCAGGGCGGUGGCAGCCUGGCCGGCAGCCCUCCCUUUUGCUUCUCUAGCUUCUCCAUCUCUGUCUUCUCCAGGUGAUGCUGGGCUAUGGCUUCACAUCUCCAUGGACCCUCUGAGGCUGGUGGGACCCCUCGCUACCUACAGCCUGGGCUGGUGUUCCCCGAGGUCUUCUUUUUCUCACAAAAGAAGCCAGGAUAGGGCCGGGGAUUUAGCUCAGUGGUUCUGGCACCUGCCUCACAAGCGCAAGGUCCCGAGUUCGAUCCCUGGUAUCAAAGAAAGAAGCCGGCUUAGCUCACCUCCCUGCAUGUCUGUCCCCACGGCACGUGCUGUUCCUCUGGCGGCUGGAGUUACCUGGGGACUGGGGCUCACGCUCUCCAGGGUCUCAUAGUAGCAGGGGUCUGGCAGUAUGGCUGGAGCAGUCGGAUGUGAUGGCCGAGUGAGGAGACUCACUAACCACAGAUGGAGAAUGGCAGCACCCAAGCCUGACUCGGGACCAAGCUGAACCCUGUACCCAGCACCAGUGAGAACAUGAAGAACCUGGCACGUGAUAUCAGUCUUCUAGCACGAGGCCAGUGUGACCUCCGGGGUCAGCUGUGGAGACACAGAAGGGCGGCAGUGACUGAGCUGUGGCCACCGACCUCUUGCUCUUGCAGCAUCUGUUCUGUGUGCAGGACACACCCGCUCUUUUUCCUUCAGAGCACCUUUUCUCCCUGAGCACUUCUGUGCUUCUCCCUUUUAUUCCUGCCC